rnacentral:pre_miRNA from 1 species
CUUGCUUACGGGGUUGGGUUAGCUUUGCUUUGUUUGUUUGUACCGCAGGGCUAACCCAACCCUGUAAGUAAGG